UACGUAGGGGGCAAACGUUGUCCGGAAUGACUGGGCGUAAAGGGCGAGUAGGUGGUUUGACAAGUCAGAAGUGAAAACUCCGGGCUCAACUUGGAGACUGCUUCUGAAACUGUUAGACUUGAGUGCAGGAGAGGGAAGUGGAAUUCCUAGUGUAGCGGUGAAAUGCGUAGAUAUUAGGAGGAACACCAGUGGCGAAGGCGGCUCUCUGGCCUGUUGCUGACGCUGAGGCGCGAAAGCGUGGGGAUCAAACAGGAUUAGAUACCCCUGUAGUCC
rnacentral:rRNA from 1 species